UACGGAGGAUCCAAGCGUUAUCCGGAUUCAUUGGGUUUAAAGGGUGCGUAGGCGGAAUGAUAAGUCAGUGGUGAAAUCCUGCAGCUUAACUGCAGAACUGCCAUUGAUACUGUCACUCUUGAGUAUAUUUGAUGUGGGCGGAAUGUGUCAUGUAGCGGUGAAAUGCUUAGAUAUGACACAGAACACCGAUUGCGAAGGCAGCUCACAAAACUAUAACUGACGCUCAUGCACGAAAGCGUGGGGAGCAAACAGG
rnacentral:rRNA from 1 species